rnacentral:rRNA from 1 species
GCUUGGCAGUAAAAGGCUGAACAAAACCACCAGCCCGCCAGAUUAUUACAAGUAAAAACUUAAAACUCAAAGGACUUGACGGUGUCCCACACACAACCUAGAGGAGCCUGUCCUAUAAUCGACGAUCCACGAAAGACCCUACCACUUUUUGCCAAACAACCUAUAUACCGCCGUCGCAAGCUCACCUUUUGAAAGAAACAAAGUGAGCACAACAAUUUAACAUUAAAACGUCAGGUCAAGGUGUAGUUGAUGAAGUGGGCAGAGAUGGGCUACAUUUCCUUUUAAAGGAAACACGAAUGGCCUAAUGAAAGAAGGCCUGAAGGAGGAUUUAGUAGUAAAACCGGAUUAGAAAGCCGGUUUGAACAAAUUGCCCUGGGACGCGU